rnacentral:rRNA from 1 species
GUGGGGAAUAUUGGACAAUGGGCGAAAGCCUGAUCCAGCCAUGCCGCGUGUGUGAAGAAGGUCUUCGGACUGUAAAGCACUUUAAGUUGGGAGGAAGGGCAGUAAGUUAAUACCUUGCUGUUUUGACGUUACCGACAGAAUAAGCACCGGCUAACUUCGUGCCAGCAGCCGCGGUAAUACGAAGGGUGCAAGCGUUAAUCGGAAUUACUGGGCGUAAAGCGCGCGUAGGUGGUUUUGUAAGUUGGAGGUGAAAUCCCCGGGCUCAACCUGGGAACUGCCUCCAAAACUGCAUGACUAGAGUACGGUAGAGGGUGGUGGAAUUUCCUGUGUAGCGGUGAAAUGCGUAGAUAUAGGAAGGAACACCAGUGGCGAAGGCGACCACCUGGACUGAUACUGACACUGAGGUGCGAAAGCGUGGGGAGCAAACAGGAUUAGAUACCCCUGUAGUCC